UACGUAGGGUGCAAGCGUUGUCCGGAAUUAUUGGGCGUAAAGAGCUCGUAGGCGGUUUGUCGCGUCGGCUGUGAAAUCCCGAGGCUCAACUCCGGGCCUGCAGUCGAUACGGGCGGACUAGAGUUCGGCAGGGGAGACUGGAAUUCCUGGUGUAGCGGUGAAAUGCGCAGAUAUCAGGAGGAACACCGGUGGCGAAGGCGGGUCUCUGGGCCGAUACUGACGCUGAGGAGCGAAAGCGUGGGGAGCGAACAGG
rnacentral:rRNA from 1 species